rnacentral:rRNA from 1 species
AGGCCCCUUCGGGGGUACACGAGUGGCGAACGGGUGAGUAACACGUGAGCAACCUGCCCUUGACUCUGGGAUAACAGUUGGAAACAGCUGCUAAUACCGGAUACGACCUUCGAUGACAUCAUCUGGAGGUGGAAAGCGCUUUAGCGGUCAAGGAUGGGCUCGCGGCCUAUCAGCUUGUUGGUGAGGUAACGGCUCACCAAGGCUUCGACGGGUAGCCGGCCUGAGAGGGCGACCGGCCACACUGGGACUGAGAUACGGCCCAGACUCCUACGGGAGGCAGCAGUGGGGAAUAUUGCACAAUGGGCGCAAGCCUGAUGCAGCAACGCCGCGUGCGGGAUGACGGCCUUCGGG